UACGUAGGUUGCAAGCGUUGUCCGGAAUCACUGGGCGUAAAGGGUCUGCAGGCGGCAUGUUAAGUCUCCCGUUAAAUCUCUGGGCUUAACCCAGAGUGGCCGGGGGAUACUGGCAAGCUAGAGGCGAUUAGAGGGAAGCGGAAUUCCCGGUGUAGUGGUGAAAUGCGUAGAUAUCGGGAGGAACACCAGUGGCGAAAGCGGCUUCCUGGGAUUGUCCUGACGCUAAUAGACGAAAGUGUGGGGAGCAAACCGG
rnacentral:rRNA from 1 species